rnacentral:rRNA from 1 species
AACGAACGCUGGCGGCAUGCCUAACACAUGCAAGUCGAACGAGACCUUCGGGUCUAGUGGCGCACGGGUGCGUAACGCGUGGGAACCUGCCUUUAGGUUCGGAAUAACUCAGAGAAAUUUGAGCUAAUACCGGAUGAUGUCUUCGGACCAAAGAUUUAUCGCCUUUAGAUGGGCCCGCGUUGGAUUAGCUAGUUGGUGGGGUAAAGGCCUACCAAGGCGACGAUCCAUAGCUGGUCUGAGAGGAUGAUCAGCCACACUGGGACUGAGACACGGCCCAGACUCCUACGGGAGGAAGCAGUGGGGAAUAUUGGACAAUGGGCGAAAGCCUGAUCCAGCAAUGCCGCGUGAGUGAUGAAGGACUGAGGGUUGUAAAGCUCUUUUACCCGAGAUGAUAAUGACAGUAUCGGGAGAAUAAGCUCCGGCUAACUCCGUG